UUUUCCCUUUGCAUGAGCGCUGGGAGUGUUUGGGGGUGGUGGUAGAGCCCCAGGUGCUGCUUGCCUGUUAAGCUGACCACCUGGCUGGCUGAGCGCUUCUUACAGGGAAAGGGGGUAUGGAGCUGUAUGGGGAACUUAUGCACUCGGAAAGCUUUUCCAGCCUUGGAAGUGAGACAUCGCAGACAGUAGCAGUGGAUUCUUCUGGAAGUCCUCCAGGCGUGGGUGCAGGGUCCCAGCUGGCAGAGGUGUUGCAGUGUCAGCGAGAGUGCUGCAUCUUGAUUACAUCAACGAAGAGAGGAUCUCGGCCCUGCCAGCUGAGCACCAUCCCAAAGGAGGAGGAAGGAGAGAAGGCUCCGAGGACUCCGGCAUUCUCUGCAGGGAGAUUAUUAGUGCAAGACGUGACAUUAAGACAAUACAUUGACUCAUCCAAAGAAACAGAGGCUUGCAGGAGCAGCGAGAGGAAACCAAAUAAAUAUGUUUGCAGAAAGUUGUCUGUUCAUCUGUCCAUCUGAGAGCAUAAAGAGACAACUCUCAAUGUUAGUUAGGAGUCACAAAGACUUUGUUCUUUGGACUGUUUCAGGGAAAAGCCAUUAUUUCCCAGAUUUACUCCGCCAGAUCCUCCUCCACGGCUCUGUGUACAGCCUGCCUCGGCCCUAGCAGCCAAGGAAAGCACACCCAGGACCUGUGCUGAACCUUUCAUGCCCUGGGCAUGACCACAACUGGGGGUUUUCUUGGUACAAAAGCGUGAGGUAGACCUCUCCCAUCUGAAAACCCAGCUUACAGCCUCUCAUCACACCGUCAUGGCUGAGGCCCACCCAAGAGCCCACCGUGAGAGCCACCAGGCUCGUUUGUUCGAGAAGAUGCUGCAGGCUGCCGACCGGUCUGAUUUCGUGCAAAAAGGCACGGGUUUGCUUAAUCGGCCAUACCUUGUGGGGGUGAGUGGCGUGUCUGGGACUUAGCAUUUCAUCCAGCUGCCAAGACCAAUUAUUUUUGAUGUUGCUUGACACAUUGAAGCUGGUUCUCCUGAUUUAUUUUGUUUACUUGCUGGAGUGCUGUGUUGUGUUGUGUUUUUUUUCCUAAAAGGAUGUCUUCCUUUUUCUGACUCUCAUGCCAAAGAUGGCCAAGAAGUAAAGCAGAUAUGAAAAUGGAACGAAAAAAAGUCUUUUCAAGAACACCACAAGCUUUGUCAGCCUCCCAGGACUAAACAGACAAAGACAUGAUAACUUGGGCUAGUAGCAAAUGUGUCAUUCAUGGAGCACAGCAGGAUCUGCUUCAGGGGUGGAACACCUUUCACAACAAAGCUGGAAGGCUUUGCGACUGUACCUUGCUUUCCUGGAAUCUGUGGACAUCUAAAUUCAUUGAAAAUUAGGGAAAUGGCAAAAAUUCCAAUGGUUUGGCAAGCUUUGAAUGGUUUGAUAUUUCAGUUGAUACUCUCAUUCUAGCAGAGACUUGGGGCUUGGCAGGGGGAGAAUUCAGCUCUUAUUUCUCCAAGAAGGACAUUUGGUUUGGUCGCCCUGGGAGCCCUUCCAGUUCAACAUUUAAAGUGGGUUUUGAAGACAAGAGCCUAUAUCCAGAAAAAUGCGGAAAACUCCAAAUCAUUUUUGGACCUGAAAUGAGCAGUCACAGUAGCUACAAGAUACCAUCUGCAUCUAUUUUAGAAGUGAUUUUACUGUUCUUUCUAUUAUAAGAGCUGCUUGAAGGUAUCUCACAUUUUUGUAAAUUUCAUCAAGGACCUGAAAUUCCAAAUUUUUGUAAUAAAAA
ensembl:lncRNA